rnacentral:lncRNA from 1 species
UUUAUAAACAUUAACAAUAUAUAACUAUUAUUUUAGGACCUAAAAAUUAAUCUAUUAAUAUACAUCUGAUAUUUUAUAUGUAUAAAUAAUAUAUAAGUAACAUUAUAGGAACUCAAAAUUUUGAGUUGAGGCCCGAUGCCGUCGCACACCCCGCACAUGUGUGCGAGACGCCUCUAAGUGCUAUGCUAUCUAAAGGUUGAGCUUCUAAGGGAACCCACCUGAAAUGGUUAAUGAUGAACUUAAGAAUGAAGAUUCCAAGCUUUAAGCUCUUUUGCAUAACUUCCUCUUUGAUGCUGCCAUUCCAAACCAAGUGAUGACAAUCGUAUUCUCCAAAAAUCCAAGCAGUGUUUCUUUAACCUUUCAAAAUUCUUAUUUCUCCAACCAUCAAUCCUUACAUGUAAGCACCAUAGAGAAUAAAUGAAUUCAUAAACCUUUUUCAGGGAAAUAGGAAAGUAUUGAUCAAUGGGUAAUGAUUUAGGCCUGAACUGCUUACCUUGAGUUACACGAGAUGAUCGCAGAGAUAGAUAAAAUGUAUGUAGCAACAUAAUUAAAUCUGCAUGACCUCUGUUCUAUGUUUUUGGCAACAUCUCAAGUCCCCCGUGACCAUUUUAGACAACAUGCAGCACCAGAAAAAGAGUAGAUAUAAGGAUUGGAUUUUUGGAAUGAAUCUUAGACAAAGAAGAGGAGAGUAUAAACCAUUAACCAUACCUUAAUUCCUACUCACACAAGACUUAACCCUUGAUUUUUCCACAUCUCUAGGCUCCAAUUUAUCUGAAUUUCGUCCAACACAUCUCCAAUAUGAGAAGACAAGACUUUGUCAUGAAAGAUGCAUUUUCUUAUCCAUGGAGGGUUACAAGGAAAAGAGAACAUAAGAUUGGUUUGGAUUGGGUCAUGAUUUAGUAGAGAAAGAGAGAAUCAGAUACAUGCAAAGCUUCAAUUUAUGGAAAGGAAGAAUUUUUGGACAUAGCCUUGGUGGGAGGUUGUUGGCGUGAGAGAAGAAGAGUGUGGCUUCCUN